rnacentral:rRNA from 1 species
GACGUAGGGCGCGAGCGUUGUCCGGAUUUAUUGGGCGUAAAGAGCUCGUAGGCGGCUUGUUGCGUCCGCUGUGAAAACCCGCAGCUCAACUGUGGGCUUGCAGCUGAUACGGGCAGGCUUGAGUUCGGUGGGGAGACUGGAAUUCCUGGUGUAGCGGUGAAAUGCGCAGAUAUCAGGAGGAACACCGGUGGCGAAGGCGGGUCGCUGGGCCGAUACUGACGCUGAGGAGCGAAAGCGUGGGGAGCGAACAGG